ensembl:piRNA 21ur-5832 ncRNA
UACACGAUUGAUCUCACUUUA